AUGUGCUCGCUUUUUUUUCAGGUCACACCCUCUACCCAUUGGGCAUUUGAGCACAGAGUUACAGUGCACAUUCUCUUGGCAAGCCUCCAAUUGCGCUUUCUGGAACUUCUCUUUCCAACCAUUCAUACAGGCUUUUCCAGAUCACAGAUGAAAACCUCUUACUUCCUUUGUCACUCCCAUAGACUAAAGCUCCUUCUUUGUGAAGAUGACUCAAGGAGGGAGAGAAGAGGAGAAGCCACAGCCCAUCAACGUCUCUGGGCAUCACACCCCACUUGGCUGGACUCCAGGACGUCUUAUGGAUGCUUUACGGUGAAGCUACUGCUAACUGAAGGAAUGCCCCUUGUAUUUUCCUACAAAAUUCCCAGCACUUUUUACCUCUCCAGUCACCGUCGGAAGUGAUUACCAUUCUUUUUGCACUGAUUCGUCACCAAGGUUGACAGAAGCACCUUUUUCGCCUUUUAUGAAUGAACUCAUCCUCCUCCUGUCCUACCUGAGACGUCCUUAGAUGCCUUGUAACUCAUUGCCUGGCUUCCACCAUCAAUUGUACCGAAGAUGUCCCUCCUUGACUAGCCCUUUGAUCAUGCUCCUGCCUCCUCAGAACCUGUCAGAAGACUUUUAUUUUCUACUCUCAGCAAAUGACACUUAGGAUCACAGGCCCUUCACUCAAGCUGGUUAUCGUUACGCACCCAUUGCUUGCUUUUUUCUCCCAUCUGUUAGUACCAAACACCCUGCCCUCAUGAAAUCCUAUUCUUUAUUUUAAAAACAGUUAAAUCAAUAAAUAGGAUAAGAAAUAGCUCUUCUCUAUAGCA
rnacentral:lncRNA from 1 species